UGCCUUUUAAUUGGUGCGUUUAUGCCACUGACUUUCACAGUGCUUACUGAUAGAGUGACUGCCAUAUCUAGCUGCUUCUGGGGCUUCCAGGGCGGCAGGCAGGCAGCUCCUGGGGCUUGCGGGGCCGGUGUGCCUGCGGCCCGGGACUGGAUCAGGUCCCGGGCGGCAGGCAGGCGGCUUCUGGAGUCGUCCACGGGGGCCUGGACGGUGGCUUGCGCUGGCGGCUCAUGCGGUCCUGCCCUGCCGGCAGCAUGCAAAUUAGCCUCCAUCUUUGUUGGUGGUUAAUUUGCAUAUCUUGCUGAUUAGCCAAUGGGAGGUGUAGCAAAGGUAUGGUCAAUUACCAUGUUUGGCUAUUAUUAGAUAGGAUAGGACUAGAGGCCUGGUGCAUGAAAUUCGUGCUGGGGGUGUGUGUCCUUCAGCCUGGCCUGCGCCCUCUUGCAAUCCGGGACCCCUUGGGUAGGGUCCCUAGGCCUGACCAGCAAUCAGGACCUUUCAGUACUUUCCUUCCCUGGCUGCUGGGCUGCUGGCAGCUGGCCCUACCCCUGCCGCUGCCAUUGCUUGCCAUCUGUGCUGCGCUGCCUCCCUCCCCUGCCACUUGUUGCCUCCCUCUGAGGGCGACAGGCGUGGGGUGCAAUGGCUUGGCUGGCCUGGGCCUCUCUCUUUGGAACAACCGUGGAGGCCCACCCCCACCUCACCCCCCAUCAAUCAUCCUGCUGGCCGCGGGCUGGGGCCUCCCUCUGCUGGGUGAUUGUGGGGCAAUGGUGGGGCCCCCAAACCAAUCGCAUUGCACCUGCCUUGGCUGGCCUGGCUCCAGUGCGUGUCAUAGCGUGGUUGUCCAGAAGGUUGUCUGGACGGUCAUUCUGCUGUUUGUUCAUUCAGUCGAUUUGCGUAUUAUGCUUUUAUUAUUAUAGAUUAUCCCAUGUUUUCCUCUAGAACACUUUUUCCUAAAAUGAAAAUGCCUUUGUUUAUUGCAGUUUAUGUAAAUAAUGCAGAAAAAAUAAAAUUAAUUCAAAAUUCUACCCCAAGAGUAAAAAACAAACAAAAAACCUGCUAUGGUUUUAAGUAUAUCCCCCUUCAGACAUCUAUACAUGCACACAUUUUCUUUGUUCUGUUUUCUCUCCAUUUAUUUUACUGUUUUAGGUAUAUACAUUUCAGAGAGGAAGCGAGAAAGAAGCAUCUAUGAUGAGAUAGAAUCAUGGAUCGGCUGCCUCCUGCAGACCCCCCACUGGGGGUGGAGCCCACCACCCCGGCAUGUGCCCUGGAAUCAAACUGUGACCUCCUAGUUCACAGGUCAAUGCUCAACCACUGAGCUACACCGGGCAGGCUAGGUUUCUGAUACGGAUGUAAAACAUGUAAAUUUUCAGCUUUUAUUCCUAAUAUGUGCAUAAAUGAGUGCACAUUUUUCACCAUAUGUUUUGGUAUGUACUAUUAGCAUUUACUUCAAAUUAUUUUCUAACUUGAAUUGUGAUGUAUUUUGGGGUUAUUUAGAAGUGAAUUUGAUAAAUCUUAAAUAUUAGGAGUUUGUAGGUGCCUUCUGUUCCUGAUAUGUAGAUUAACAGCAAUGACAACAAGAAACGUACUGUAUAUAAUUUCAUUUCUUUGAAGUUUGUUGAAACUUGCUUCAUAUCACUGCGUGGUCUCAUCAACUAUAAUUGAAGUGUGCCCCUCUGCUGCCACCUCGUGUUCAACUUGGGAAUAACACCUUCGUGCCUUUCAGCAGUUUUGAAGAGCCGGCCUUGUGUAAUUAUCGGCUGGGACACAGCUAACUUCUGACACCGCUGAAGCCGAGAGAUCAUGGACACCUGCCAGCAAAGAAUGUGAAUCCUUUGAAGUUGCCAUGCCAAGUUCACUAUGUUUGAAAUCUGCUGAGGAAAGAGAAAUGAUCUUUGUUGAAAGUGAAAGGUUUGUACUGUUUUUUUUUUCUUCCACUCACUCCUUGUGCGAAUAUGACGCUACAGAAAUAAGAUUUUUUAAAAAACCACAGGCAUUCCGAAUGAAAAGAUGUUCCUUGGAAUGGAAGUCUGGAGGGAGGAGAGCACCCUAGCCUUGUAAACUUCCUCCCAGGAAGGUGGGAACCCAUGUGUGUCUGCCCGUGUUGGUGAGAGGAUUGCUUUUGGAAAGGCCUGUCCCUGCUUGUCCAGCAGGUGGAGCCAAGACCUAGCUGAGGAGGAAUGUUUGUGUCUUUGUGCUGGAGAGAUUUGCUUGUCAUCCCUACAGGAUGUGAGGCUAGUGAGUGGGCACUGAGGCCAGAGGUCCCCCUUGGUAGCGGCUGUUAUAAAGCGGGGGAGGGUGAUCCUGUGGCUACGUCCUUUUUGUACUGGAACCCGCAUUCUUUUUCCGCCGGAAUUGCAGAAUGAAUUCCCGGAUAGAAAGUGUUGUAGUAAGUGUGGAGAUGUGUUGAAGACGAAGUGCAAACUGCCAAGUAGGGUGGGUGAAAAGGGUCCCACUGGGUUCCUUUCUGUAUGUCCUGUCAAGCGUGCAGAUCGUGGUGCCUGCUAAUCCCUCUGCUGGGUCCAUAUUCCCCUUGGAGUUGAUUAGUGGAGUAAGUCAUGGGCUCCAAGGUUGACCCUCCCAUGGGAACCGUGAGGU